GCUAGGAAUCUUGGGAAUGCGCGAAAGCGUGACCCAGCAACGCCGCGUGGGCGAUGAAGGCCUUCGGGUCGUAAAGCCCUUUUGCAGGGGACGAUAGUGACGGUACCUUGCGAAUAAGCCACGGCUAACUACGUGCCAGCAGCCGCGGUAAUACGUAGGUGGCAAGCGUUGUCCGGAUUUACUGGGCGUAAAGGGCGUGCAGGCGGUCUGUUAAGUUCAGGGUGAAAGCUCCCGGCUCAACUGGGAGAGGUCCUUGGAUACUGGCAGACUUGAGGGAGGUAGAGGAGAGUGGAAUUCCCGGUGUAGUGGUGAUAUGCGUAGAUAUCGGGAGGAACACCAGUGGCGAAGGCGGCUCUCUGGGCCUUUCCUGACGCUGAGACGCGAAAGCGUGGGGAGCGAACCGGAUUAGAAACCCUGGUAGUCC
rnacentral:rRNA from 1 species